UGCAGUCGACGCUUCUUUUUCCACCGGAGCUUGCUCCACCGGAAAAAGAGGAGUGGCGAACGGGUGAGUAACACGUGGGUAACCUGCCCAUCAGAAGGGGAUAACACUUGGAAACAGGUGCUAAUACCGUAUAAUAAUUAAAACCGCAUGGUUUUAAUUUGAAAGGCGCUUUACGGUGCCACUGAUGGAUGGACCCGCGGUGCAUUAGCUAGUUGGUGAGGUAACGGCUCACCAAGGCGACGAUGCAUAGCCGACCUGAGAGGGUGAUCGGCCACAUUGGGACUGAGACACGGCCCAAACUCCUACGGGAGGCAGCAGUAGGGAAUCUUCGGCAAUGGACGAAAGUCUGACCGAGCAACGCCGCGUGAGUGAAGAAGGUUUUCGGAUCGUAAAACUCUGUUGUUAGAGAAGAACAAGGAUGAGAGUAACUGUUCAUCCCUUGACGGUAUCUAACCAGAAAGCCACGGCUAACUACGUGCCAGCAGCCGCGGUAAUACGUAGGUGGCAAGCGUUGUCCGGAUUUAUUGGGCGUAAAGCGAGCGCAGGCGGUUUCUUAAGUCUGAUGUGAAAGCCCCCGGCUCAACCGGGGAGGGUCAUUGGAAACUGGGAGACUUGAGUGCAGAAGAGGAGAGUGGAAUUCCAUGUGUAGCGGUGAAAUGCGUAGAUAUAUGGAGGAACACCAGUGGCGAAGGCGGCUCUCUGGUCUGUAACUGACGCUGAGGCUCGAAAGCGUGGGGAGCAAACA
rnacentral:rRNA from 1 species